rnacentral:rRNA from 1 species
AUUGAACGCUGGCGGCAGGCCUAACACAUGCAAGUCGAACGAGUGGCGGACGGGUGAGUAAUGUCUGGGAAACUGCCUGAUGGAGGGGGCUAACUACUGGAAAAGGUAGCUACUACCGCAUACCAUCAGAUGUGCCCAGAGUGGAUUAGCUAGUUGGUGGGGUAAAGGCUCACAAAGGCGACGAUGCCUAGCUGGUCUGAGAGGAUGACCAGCCACACGGGAAAUGGGACACUGUCCAGACUCAUACGGGAGGCAGCAGUGGGGAAUAUUUCACAAUGGGCGCAAGCCUGAUGCAGCCAUUCCGCGUGUAUGAAGAAGGCCUGCGGUUUGUAAAGUACUUUCAGCGGGGAGGCGUUACCCGCAGAAGAAGCACCGGCUAACUCCGUGCCAGCAGCCGCGGUAAUUC